CAGCAGCCGCGGUAAUACGAAGGGGGCUAGCGUUGCUCGGAAUGACUGAGCGUAAAGGGCGCGUAGGCGGCGGCCAAAGUCAGGCGUGAAAUUCCCGGGCUCAACCUGGGGGCUGCGUUUGAUACUUGGUUGCUUGAGUGGGGAAGAGGGUCGUGGAAUUCCCAGUGUAGAGGUGAAAUUCGUAGAUAUUGGGAAGAACACCGGUGGCGAAGGCGGCGACCUGGUCCUUUACUGACGCUGAGGCGCGAAAGCGUGGGGAGCAAACAGGAUUAGAUACCCCCGUAGUCCCUGUCUCUUAUAC
rnacentral:rRNA from 1 species